GACCCUAAAAAGUCCUUUAGACA
rnacentral:tRNA from 1 species